rnacentral:lncRNA from 1 species
CCACUGAAAUCAAGCGUAAUCGUGGUCACACACAGAUGAUCGAGCAGUCCAUCAAACGCCGAUAAUACCAUACACCAUAGUAACAUCGAUAGUGUUCCAGCAGCAUGCUGACCGAUGAACAGAAACGAGGAUUGCCUGACCGUCAAACAAAACAUGCCACGAGCACACACAGCAUGCUACAUCCCACCCAAAACGUGUCACCUUACACCUUGACUUGGUUCCAGUGUUGGUAGAUCUGGAUCAAGGGGGAAUUCGGCAGAACAAAAUUGCGUUAGCACACCAGCAUGCAUGAUAUCGGAGGGUAAAUAUGUAGACCAACGGAAAUAAAGCAUUUGUGGGGAGAUGAGAUCACCUAGAGAGUGAGCUGAUGUCAGUUGACCAAUUCCCCGGCUCCUUCAAGGAAAAUUAACCAACAAUUGUCAGAACACAACACAAGACAUUGUGCAGAUCUGGGUUUCUGAUGCGUCAAUCGUGAUGCUCAAUCAUUAUUUGAAUAGACAUAAUCAACUACCCUAUGUGCUAGUUAUCUGCUAGCAACAGGAAACAAGUUCAGAGCAAGUGUGUCUAGGAAGAUGUAUUGGAUGUCGAAUUAACUACGAUGUUAACUCAUACAAGUAGGAAUUAAAACAUUACUAUAUUUACAAACAAAGC